CCGGGGUGAGGUAGUAGAUUGUAUAGUUGGGGGCUCACACGCCCGGCUCGGAGAUAACUAUACAGUCUACUGUCUUCCCCGU
rfam:Colinus virginianus strain Texas jcf7180006227124, whole genome shotgun sequence.